UACUUUUCCAUGCUUAAUGCUUGUCACUAGGUCCCGAGUGCCAUGAUUUCAGAUCUGAAUCUAUUAUGUUCUUGCCAAUAUAUGUGUGUUCUUGAUCCUAUCUUGCAAGUUGUAGUCACCUACUAUGUGUUAUGACCCGGCAACCCCGGAGUGACAAUAGCCGGAACCACUCCCGGAGAUGACCAUAGUAUGAGGAUUUCAUGUAUUCACUAAGUGUUACUGCGUUGGUCCGGUUCUUUAUUAAAAGGAGAACCUUAAUAUCCCGUAGUUUCCAUUAGGACCCUGCUGCCACGGGAGGGAUGGACAAUAUAUGUCAUGCAAGUUCUUUUCCCUAAGCACGUAUGACUACAUACGUAAUACAUGCCUACAUUACAUUGACGAACUGGAGCUAGUUACAUAUCU
rnacentral:lncRNA from 1 species